GAUGAAGAACGUAGCGAAAUGCGAUACUUGGUGUGAAUUGCAGAAUCCCGUGAACCAUCGAGUCUUUGAACGAAAGUUGCGCCUCAAGCCAUUAGGUUGAGGGCACGUCUGCCUGGGCGUCACAUAUCGUUGCCUGAUGCCAGUUUCCUCGUGAUGGGUGACUGUGCAGGGCGAAUGAUGGCUUCCCGUGAGCAUUGUUGCCUCAUGGUUGGUUGAAAAUUGAGUCCUUGGUAGGGAGCGCCGUGAUAGAUGGUGGUUGAGUGACGAACGAGACCCAAUCAUGUGAGACCCCUACCGAAUUUGGCCUUCAUGACCCACAUGCGUCUUUGGAACGCUCAUGACGAGACCUCAGGUCAGGCGGGGCUACCCGCUGAGUUUAAGCAUAUCAAUAAGCGGAGGA
rnacentral:misc_RNA from 1 species